rnacentral:rRNA from 1 species
CUCUUGACCUCGGAUCAGGUAGGGAUACCCGCUGAACUUAAGCAUAUCAAUAAGCGGAGGAAAAGAAACCAACAGGGAUUGCCCUAGUAACGGCGAGUGAAGCGGCAACAGCUCAAAUUUGAAAUCUGGCGUCUUCGGCGUCCGAGUUGUAAUUUGCAGAGGGCGCUUUGGCGUUGGCAGCGGUCCAAGUUCCUUGGAACAGGACGUCACAGAGGGUGAGAAUCCCGUACGUGGUCGCUGGCCUUCGCCGUGUAAAGCCCCUUCGACGAGUCGAGUUGUUUGGGAAUGCAGCUCUAAAUGGGAGGUAAAUUUCUUCUAAAGCUAAAUACUGGCCAGAGACCGAUAGCGCACAAGUAGAGUGAUCGAAAGAUGAAAAGCACUUUGGAAAGAGAGUCAAACAGCACGUGAAAUUGUUGAAAGGGAAGCGCUUGCAGCCAGCCUUGCCUGUAGUUGCUCAUCCGGGCUUUUGCCCGGUGCACUCUUCUAUAGGCAGGCCCGCAUCAGUUUGGGCGGUUGGAUAAAGGUCUCUGUCAUGUACCUCUCUUCGGGGAGAACUUAUAGGGGAGACGACAUGCAACCAGCCUGGACUGAGGUCCGCGCAUCUGCUAGGAUGCUGGCGUAAUGGCUGUAAGCGGCCCGUCUUGAAACACGGACCAAGGAGUCUAACAUCUAUGCGAGUGUUUGGGUGUCAAGCCCGAGCGCGCAAUGAAAGUGAACGGAGGUGGGAACCCUUACGGGUGCACCAUCGACCGAUCCUGAUGUCUUCGGAUGGAUUUGAGUAAGAGCAUAGCUGUUGGGACCCGAAAGAUGGUGAACUAUGCUUGAAUAGGGUGAAGCCAGAGGAAACUCUGGUGGAGGCUCGCAGCGGUUCUGACGUGCAAAUCGAUCGUCAAAUUUGGGCAUAGGGGCGAAAGACUAAUCGAACUAUCUAGUAGCUGGUUUCCUGCCGAAGUUUCCCUCAGGAUAGCAGUUAACGUAUUCAGUUUUAUGAGGUAAAGCGAAUGAUUAGAGGCCUUGG